GAUGAACGCUGGCGGCGUGCCUAACACAUGCAAGUCGAGCGAUUCUCUUCGGAGAAGAGCGGCGGACGGGUGAGUAACGCGUGGGUAACCUGCCCUGUACACACGGAUAACAUACCGAAAGGUAUGCUAAUACGAGAUAAUAUGCUUUUAUCGCAUGGUAGAAGUAUCAAAGCUCUGGCGGUACAGGAUGGACCCACGUCUGAUUAGCUAGUUGGUAAGGUAACGGCUUACCAAGGCGACGAUAAGUAGCCGACCUGAGAGGAUGAUCGGCCACAUUGGAACUGAGACGCGGCCCAAACUCCUACGGGAGGCAGCAGUGGGGAAUAUUGCACAAUGGGCGAAAGCCUGAUGCAGCAACGCCGCGUGAGCGAUGAAGGCCUUCGGGUCGUAAAGCUCUGUCCUCAAGGAAGAUAAUGACGGUACUUGAGGAGGAAGCCCCGGCUAACUACGUGCCAGCAGCCGCGGUAA
rnacentral:rRNA from 1 species